AGGCUUUUAAGAUCGGGUUGC
rnacentral:siRNA from 1 species